rnacentral:misc_RNA from 1 species
GAUGAAGAACGCAGCGAAAUGCGAUAAGUAAUGUGAAUUGCAGAAUUCAGUGAAUCAUCGAAUCUUUGAACGCAUCUUGCACCCUUUGGUAUUCCGAAGGGUAUGCUCGUUUGAGUGUCAUUGUACUCUCACACUUCUAAUUCCUUUCGGGAUUGGGAGCGGUGGACUUGGGUGUUGCUGCUUUAGUUGUGGCUCACCUCAAAUAAGUUAGUGCAACUCUUGGUUGGACAUAGUACGGCGUGAUAAGUGUCUUCGCCGGCGCCUCUGUAAGGAGGGUGGCCGAUCGGGAGCUCUGUGCUUCAAACCGUCUUCGGACAAUCUUUGACAACUUGACCUCAAAUCGAGUAGGACUACCCGCUGAACUUAAGCAUAUCAAUAAGCGGAGGA